rnacentral:rRNA from 1 species
CGUAUCUCAGUCAGGUGAGAAUACCCGCUGAACUUAAACAUAUCAAUAAGCGGAGGAAAAGAAAACAAAAGUGAUACCCCUAGUAAUGGCGAACGAACAGGGUAGAGCCCAACGCAAAGGUUUGAUCGGAUUCUUUCCGAUCAAACGAUGCUGCGUGUGGACUGGAUGCUUGAGUUUAAAGUGUCUACUGAUCUGUGUUCAAACGAACGAUCUAAUAGUUGGCCAUAGAGGGUUAAAGCCCCGUAUGAACAUUCUAAAUUCAGUAGACGCUAGUACGAAGGCUCCGGUUUGAGAGUAGGGUUGCUUGAGAGUGCAGCUUGAAGUAGGAGGUAUGCAUCUCCUAAGGCUAAAUAUCACUGCGAGACCGAUAGCAAACAAGUAGUGUGAACGAAAGUUGAAAAGAACUUUGAAGAGAGAGUUCAAAGAGCGUGAAACCACUAGUAGGGAAGCGGAGAUUAUCACGAAGUGGCGUUGCUUCUGUGUGGUGUGUUGAUGAUUGAGAUGAUUCGUGUGCAAUUGAAAGCUGGUUCGCCAGUCGUAGAUUCGUACGCAAAUUGAUUUCGUUCAACAUGCUACAAAGCACAGAAGUUGCCGGUAUCUAGUCUUCUUCUAAAACUGCAUAGUGCUACCGAUCGCCUAAUCUCAUUCACUGGGGUAGUGGUUAGGAUUGGUAGUUUGAGUUGUUUAAUGAUCUUUUGUCUAGUCUAGGUGCUUUCGUGUCUAACUAGUGCAGAGGUUAAACUCCUAUGUUCGAGUAAGGGGAGAAUAGGACAAGAUAUGAGUAGAUCGAUAAAUCUCUGCCCCGUCUUGAAACACGGACCAAGGAGCCUAGCGUGUACGCAAGUCUCUUAGACUUCUCACAAAGCUAGGUGGCAUAACGAAAGCAAUCAGUACUAUUCCAUACAGGUUUAGUACAGCUACGAUGUGAUGAACUUAUACAAAAGCGUCAUAGCAGUAGCAAUGCGAUUCGUACGAGUCGUAUUAGAGCGUACACGGUAGUACCCGAAAGAUGGUGAUCUAUGCUUGAGCAAGGUGAAGCCAAAGGAAACUUUGGUGGAGGCCUGCAGCAGUUUUGACGUGCAAAUCGAUUGUCAGACUUGAGUAUAGCGGCGAAAGACUAAUCGAACCAUCUAGUAGCUGGUUUCCUCCGAAAUUUCCCGCAGGAUAGCAAGCGUUUAUUGCAGAACAUUUAAACCUGUUACAGUCUCAAUAGAAGGUAACGGGGCGUUAAUUGACCUUGUCCUUUUCUUAAACUCGGUCAAUGGGUUUCUUUAAAGAAUAUAUACUAAUCGUAUGUAUCUCUACAUAAUGUUUAAAUGGCAAACGCUUAGUGGGCCAUUUUUGGUAAGCAGAACUGGCGAUGCGGGAUGAACCGUACACAGAGUUAAGGUGCCUAAGUUUUUUCAUUGAGAAAAUUUAUACGCUAAUCAGAUCCCACUAAAGAUGUUGUUCGCUUAAGACAGUAGGGCGGUGGCCAUGGAAGUCGGCAUCCGCUAAGGAGUGUGUAACAACUCACCUACCGAAGCGUUCAACUCUGAAAAUGGAUGGCGCUCAAGCGUUACACUGAUACUCUGUCGUAGUAGUAAUUCCACAAUAAUUAUCAAUUAAUUGAUUGAUAAUAUUAAACUUCUACGAGUAGGAGAGAAUGUGGUGAUAGCGUUGAAGCUUUGGACGUAAGUCCGAGUGGAGCUUUCACUAGUACAGAUCUUGGUGGUAGUAGCAAACAAACAAGUGACAACCUUGUUGACCGACGUGGAUACGGGUUCCAUGGGAACAGUAAUUGGCCAUGGGUUAGUCGAUCCUGAAGAGUGACGUGAAGACGUUUUCGUAAGAAGCAUUCCUCGUCGAAUGCACUCUGAAAGGGAAUAAGAUUAAUAUUUCUUAACCUUGAUCGUGCUCAGUUUAAAGCGGUAACGCAAUCGAACUCAGAGACAUCAGCCAAAGUCCUGGGCAGAGAUAUCUUCUCUGUUCUAAGGUGUAACUUUUCACUGAAGUGCCUUGAAUCAGUUUAGCUGGAGACAGGCAUAAAAGUACCGAAUAGCAUUGCGCUUCAAGUAAUGUACAAAUUUAACAGACAGUGUACUUUGGUUGUUCCUUGAAAAUCUGGGGGAGUAUUUUUAAGGCACGACAAGAUCGUACCUAGAUCCGCAACAGGUAUCCUAGGUGAACAGCCUCUGGUCUAUUAGAAGAAUGUAGGUAAGGGAAGUCGGCAAAAUUGAUCUGUAUCUUUGGUACAAAGGUUGGCUCUGGCGUGUUUGUCAGUUGUGCUUUAGCAAGUAAUUUGGAGCGUUGCCUUACUUGAACUGAACUCGCUUCGCGGCUUGUUUGGCGCUUGUUUGGUAGCUCUAAGUGAACGCUUCUGUGUGGCUGGCAAUUAAAACAAUUAGUCAGAACUAUCAUUGACUGUUCGGAAUCUGACUGUUUAAUUAAAACAUAGCAUUGAGAUGACCGGUGACCCGGUGUUGACUCAAUGUGAAUUCUGCCCAGUGCUCUGAAUGUCAANNNNNNNNNNNNNNNNNNNNNNNNNNNNNNNNNNNNNNNNNNNNNNNNNNNNNNNNNNNNNNNNNNNNNNNNNNNNNNNNNNCAUGAAUGGAUUAACGAGAUUCCAUCUGUCCCUACUUACUAUCUAGCGAAACCACAGCCAAGGGAACGGGCUUGGCGAGAUCAGCGGGGAAAGAAGACCCUGUUGAGCUUGACUCUAGUCUGGCAUUGUGAGGAAACUGUAUCUGGUAUAGCAUAGGAGGGAGGCAGCUUUCGGGUUGUCGUUAUCAACUGUAAAACCUCCACAGUACAGCACCACUCACUGACUUAGUUAUGAAGCUUACUUAGUCGGUUACAUUUCGGUGUGCUGGCUAAGGAAAUUUUAUAAUUGUAAAUUAAGUCUGGUAUUGUUGAUUCGUUCGCGAUUCAACGUCUAAAAUACCGUCGAGGUACUAUCUAAGGACAGUGCCAGGCGGGGAGUUUGACUGGGGCGGUACAUCUAUCAAAUGCUAACGUAGGUGUCCUAAUGUUAGCUCAGUGAGACCAGAAAUCUCACGUAGAAUAUAAGGGUACAAGCUGGCUUGAUUCUGAAUAUCAGUACAAUUGCGAGACAAGAAAUUGUGGCCUAACGAUCCUUUUGAAAAGCGAAAUACUAUCAAUGCAUAAUACAAGAGGUGUCAGAAAAGUUACCACAGGGAUAACUGGCUUGUGGCNNNNNNNNNNNNNNNNNGCUUUUUGAUCCUUCGAUGUCGGCUCUUCCUAUCAUUGUGAAGCAGAAUUCGCAAAGUGUAGAAUUGUUCACUCACUAACAGGGAACGUGAGCUGGGUUUAGACCGUCGUGAGACAGGUUAGUUUUACCCUACUGAUUAAUGCGUCUUCGCGACAGAAUUCUUGCUUAGUACGAGAGGAACGGCGAGUACAGAGCAAUGGUUGAGCACUUGAUCGAUCGGUCAAGGUGCGAAGCUAACUCUGUAGGCUAAUGACUGAAAGCCUCUAAGUCAGAAGCCUGUCUGGUCAUUGCGAGGAUAUCAAUCCACGUGGUUGAUGUGUUUAUUUGAUUUGCAAAUACGGGUUGUGUAACCUAGUGUCGAGUGGAUUCGUCCAUUCGACAUUCCCCGAGUGUUUUACUUAAACGUAGCAUACGAUUGGUAGCCACUCUGGAGAUGAUUCUUAGGCACUGAGUAGAUUGCUCAGUGUCCAGACUUUUUCAGAACUGAAUGCAUGCAAAUCUUAACAUAGAGCCGCCUGUAGACGACUCGCAUACUUGUCAGAGUGCUGUACACUGUAGAGUAGCUUGUCUACGAUCAGUUGAGACUCAUCUCUCGACAAGAUGGUUUGU